UACGGGGGGGGUAAGCGUUGUUCGGAAUUACUGGGCGUAAAGGGCGCGUAGGCGGUCAGCACAAGUCAGUUGUGAAAUCUCCGGGCUUAACCCGGAAAGGUCAACUGAUACUGUGCGACUAGAGUGCGGAAGGGGCAACUGGAAUUCUCGGUGUAGCGGUGAAAUGCGUAGAUAUCGAGAGGAACACCUGCGGCGAAGGCGGGUUGCUGGGCCGACACUGACGCUGAUGCGCGAAAGCCAGGGGAGCGAACGGG
rnacentral:rRNA from 1 species